AACCAGCAUCUGCACAUAAUUCUCCAAAUGCGGUCCAAGCAAAGUCCUAUAAAGCAGCAACAUGCCUGCC